rnacentral:rRNA from 1 species
AACGAACGCUGGCGGCAGGCCUAACACAUGCAAGUCGAACGCACCGCAAGGUGAGUGGCGCACGGGUGAGUAACACGUGGGAAUGUACCCUUUGGUUCGGAAUAACGUUUGGAAACGAACGCUAAUACCGGAUGAGCCCUGUGGGGAAAGAUUUAUCGCCAAAGGAGCAGCCCGCGUCUGAUUAGCUAGUUGGUGGGGUAAAGGCCUACCAAGGCGACGAUCAGUAGCUGGUCUGAGGGGAUGACCAGUCACACUGGGACUGAGACACGGCCCAGACUCCUACGGGAGGCAGCAGUGGGAGUAUUGGACAAUGGGGGGCGAACCCUGAUCCAGCAAUGCCGCGUGGGUGAUGAAGGCCUCGGUUGGUAAGCCUUUACCCGGGUACGUGAUAAUGACAGUACCGGGA